AUACGGAGGGUCCGAGCGUUAUCCGGGAUCAUUGGGUUUAAAGGGUCCGUAGGCGGGAAUCUAAGUCAGUGGUGAAAUCUUGCAGCUCAACUGUAAAAUUGCCAUUGAUACUGGAUUUCUUGAAUUAGUGUGAAGUGGUUAGAAUGUGUAGUGUAGCGGUGAAAUGCAUAGAUAUUACACAGAAUACCAAUUGCGAAGGCAGAUCACUAACACUAUAUUGACGCUGAGGGACGAAAGCGUGGGGAGCGAACAGGAUUAGAAACCCCAGUAGUCC
rnacentral:rRNA from 1 species